rnacentral:rRNA from 1 species
GACGUAGGGCGCGAGCGUUGUCCGGAUUUAUUGGGCGUAAAGAGCUCGUAGGCGGCUUGUCGCGUCGACUGUGAAAUCCCGCGGCUCAACUGCGGGUCUGCAGCCGAUACGGGCAGGCUAGAGUUCGGUAGGGGAGACUGGAAUUCCUGGUGUAGCGGUGAAAUGCGCAGAUAUCAGGAGGAACACCGGUGGCGAAGGCGGGUCUCUGGGCCGAUACUGACGCUGAGGAGCGAAAGCGUGGGUAGCGAACAGG